UCCGCUUUACAGCGGCAGUUUGUUCCGAGUCCCCGGCAUCAUAAAUGAUCCGCUGGUAACAGAACAUGAGGGUUGCGCUCGUUGCGGGACUUAACCCAACAUUUCACAACACGAGCUGACGACAGCCAUGCACCACCUGUGCACCACCCUCGCAGGCGGAUGGCUUUCACCAUCUUGCAGGUGCAUGUCAAGCCCUGGUAAGGUUCUUCGCGUUGCAUCGAAUUAAGCCACAUGCUCCACCGCUUGUGCGGGCCCCCGCCAAUUCCUUUGAGUUUCAACCUUGCGGCCGUAGUCCCCAGGCGGUUCACUUAAUGCGUUAGCUGCGGCACCGAGGUAUAAACCCCGACACCUAGUGAACAUCGUUUAUGGCCAAGACUAC
rnacentral:misc_RNA from 1 species